ACGGGUGAGUAAUAUAUGUGAGCGUGCCCUACAGUGGGGGAUAACUAAUCGAAGGACUAGCUAAUACCGCAUACGAUCUACGGAUGAAACUGGGGGAUCGCCCGACCUCCCGCUCCUGGAGCGACCGAUAUCUGAUUAACUAGUUGGUGGGGUAAAAACCUACCCAGGCAACCAUCAAUACCUGGUCUGACAGGACGACCAACCACCCUGGGACUGACACACAGCCCAUACUCCUACCGGAGGCAGCAAUGGGGAAUUUUGGACGAUGGGGGCAACCCUGAUCCAUCAAUGCCUCGUGAGUGAAUAAAGACUUCCGGUUGUAUAGCUCUUUUGUCCGGGAAGAAACAGUGGUGGCGAAUAACUACUACUAAUGACUGUACCUGAAGAAUAAACACCGGCUAACUACGUGCCAGCCGCCGCGGUAAUACAUACGGUGCAAGCGUUAAUCGGAAUUACUGGGCGUAAAUCGUGCGCAGGCGGUUGUGUAGUUCAGAUGUAAAAUCCCCGGGCUCAACCUGGGAAUUGCCUUUGAUACUGCACGGCUAG
rnacentral:rRNA from 1 species